UACGUAGGGGGCGAGCGUUGUCCGGAUUUAUUGGGCGUAAAGCGCGCGUAGGCGGCCCGUUAAGUCGAGUGUGAAAACCCGGGGCUCAACCCCGGGCCUGCACCCGAUACUGGCGGGCUUGAAUCCGGGAGAGGGAUGUGGAAUUCCAGGUGUAGCGGUGAAAUGCGUAGAUAUCUGGAGGAACACCGGUGGCGAAGGCGACAUCCUGGACCGGUAUUGACGCUGAGGCGCGAAAGCCAGGGGAGCAAACGGG
rnacentral:rRNA from 1 species